rnacentral:rRNA from 1 species
CCUACGGGAGGCAGCAGUGGGGAAUUUUGGACAAUGGGCGCAAGCCUGAUCCAGCAAUGCCGCGUGAGUGAAGAAGGCCUUCGGGUUGUAAAGCUCUUUUGUCAGGGAAGAAAAGGUGCGCUCUAACAUAGCGUACUGAUGACGGUACCUGAAGAAUAAGCACCGGCUAACUACGUGCCAGCAGCCGCGGUAAUACGUAGGGUGCAAGCGUUAAUCGGAAUUACUGGGCGUAAGGCGUGCGCAGGCGGUUUUAUAAGUCUGAUGUGAAAUCCCCGGGCUCAACCUGGGAACUGCAUUGGAGACUGUAAGGCUAGAGUGUGUCAGAGGGGGGUAGAAUUCCACGUGUAGCAGUGAAAUGCGUAGAUAUGUGGAGGAAUACCGAUGGCGAAGGCAGCCCCCUGGGAUAACACUGACGCUCAUGCACGAAAGCGUGGGGAGCAAACAGGAUUAGAUACCCUGGUAGUCCACGCCCUAAACGAUGUCUACUAGUUGUCGGGACUUAAUUGUCUUGGUAACGCAGCUAACGCGUGAAGUAGACCGCCUGGGGAGUACGGUCGCAAGAUUAAAACUCAAAGGAAAUUGACGG